CCGCCGCCUUGCUUCCCACCGCCACUCUCUCUCUCUCUCUCUCUCUCUCUCUCUCUGGGAGACUAACGCCCGCACAGAGACCGAGCGAGCGUAGGUAUAGGAGCGCACAAUUUGUCCUCUCCAGAAGCAGAAGGAGGAGCAAUUCCGCUGAAUCUUGUGCCAGCGUCGGCGUCGACUCAUAACACGCAGGCCGCGAGAAGGGUUUUGAGGCGAAGAAGAGAUGGGGAGAGCCAAGAAAGGCCCUAAAUUCGCAGCCAUGAAGAAAAUCAUCACCUCCAAAGCCAUCAAAAAUUACAAACAAGAGGUCCUAAACCCUAACAAGAAGGACCUUUCCAAGGACAAGCUCCCCAGAAACGUGCCAAAUGUUUCCUCUGCGCUGUUCUUCAAGCACAACACCGCCUUGGGGCCGCCUUACCGGGUUUUGGUGGAUACCAACUUCAUCAAUUUCUCCAUUCAGAAUAAACUGGAUCUGGAGAAGGGAAUGAUGGACUGCUUAUAUGCGAAAUGUACUCCUUGCAUCACGGAUUGCGUGAUGGCAGAGCUUGAGAAGCUGGGCCAGAAAUACCGUGUUGCUUUGAGGAUAGCAAAAGAUCCUCGGUUUGAAAGAUUGCCAUGUACUCACAAAGGGACCUAUGCUGAUGAUUGCCUUGUUGAGAGAGUUACUCAGCACAAAUGCUACAUCGUUGCCACAUGUGAUCGAGAUCUAAAGCGAAGGAUCCGUAAGGUCCCUGGUGUGCCAAUCAUGUUCAUUACACAGCACAAGUAUUCAAUUGAGAGAUUGCCUGAAGCAACAAUUGGUGGAGCUCCAAGAUUUUGAGGAUGGCAUCAUGGCGUUGUGGAGAAGACUUGGUUCCACCAACUUAAGUUCACUGAAAAUGCGGUACCAGAUAUUGUUCCUGCUCACUGUUGGCCUCGGUGCCAGUGCAACUGGGUCUUCUCAAGGAACUUUUCAGUGCUGAGCUCUAGACCCUGGGAUGUAGGAUUAGCAUCUGAUUUUUGCAUGUCAAGUUCUCUCAAAUUUUGUAGCUUCCUCUCCUAAUCUAUUGAUUACGCAUAACACCUCCCGAAUUGUGUUGCAAGAAGGUGGGUUUGCAUUCUUUUCCAAAGUACCAAAAAAUUCGAACAAAGAAACAGUAGCAUUACAUGAAUUUGGUCGGGGGAUCCGAUGCGUUAAUCGUGAUUACUGCGAGGCGUUACAUCU